rnacentral:rRNA from 1 species
AUUGAACGCUGGCGGCAUGCCUUACACAUGCAAGUCGAACGGCAGCACGGGUGCUUGCACCUGGUGGCGAGUGGCGAACGGGUGAGUAAUACAUCGGAACAUGUCCUGUAGUGGGGGAUAGCCCGGCGAAAGCCGGAUUAAUACCGCAUACGAUCUACGGAUGAAAGCGGGGGACCUUCGGGCCUCGCGCUAUAGGGUUGGCCGAUGGCUGAUUAACUAGUUGGUGGGGUAAAGGCCUACCAAGGCGACGAUCAGUAGCUGGUCUGAGAGGACGACCAGCCACACUGGGACUGAGACACGGCCCAGACUCCUACGGGAGGCAGCAGUGGGGAAUUUUGGACAAUGGGCGAAAGCCUGAUCCAGCAAUGCCGCGUGUGUGAAGAAGGCCUUCGGGUUGUAAAGCACUUUUGUCCGGAAAGAAAUCCUUGGCCCUAAUACGGUCGGGGGAUGACGGUACCGGAAGAAUAAGCACCGGCUAACUACGU